AAAAAGGGCUUCUGCUGUGUAUAGCACAUGGAGUGGGGCGGCUGCGGCCUUACCUUGCCUCGUGCGGAAUCGACAUCAAGAGAUUUCGGAAGCACAAUUUUUGCUCCUGGGGCAGCUGAUAAUCGUUGGUUCCGGCGCCCCG
rnacentral:snRNA from 1 species